CCUCGUCUAAGCAAGGAAAAGACAAAGACAACGGGAGUUAGCUUGGAAAUUACGGUUAAGUUAAGGGUAGACCGUUGAAUCAGCAUCCCAGCCAGAUCCCGAAUUUGAUGAGACUGGUAAUGCCCUGUAAUCCUGUACCGGGGACGGAUAAGGGUUAGGGGGUGUUACAGAUAUCUACCGGUACGUCUGUUUCAAAUGUACCAAUUGGUUCCAUAUAGUUCUGUAAGUACGUUUCGGAAUUUGGAAGCUGGACUCGGUACGCGGAGGUCUUGGACAGUCUUGCAAACUAUGAAUUAUCAGUUUUGUUUCCAAUUACGAUUUUGUUAUUUGGGUUACUUUGAACUGUAAGGCUUUAUAAUGUUGUGGAAUAGUUUUUGUUUUUGAUUUUUAUACGUACGUUUAUUUCGGGUUUUAUAUUGAGUUUUACUGUAAAUUCUACUGAUCGAUUAUUAAAUGGUUUUAUAUACUUUUGGUUUACUGAGAA